GGGUUGUGAGGUUAAGCGACUAAGCGUACACGGUGGAUGCCCUGGCAGUCAGAGGCGAUGAAGGACGUGCUAAUCUGCGAUAAGCGUCGGUAAGGUGAUAUGAACCGUUAUAACCGGCGAUUUCCGAAUGGGGAAACCCAGUGUGAUUCGUCACACUAUCAUUAACUGAAUCCAUAGGUUAAUGAGGCGAACCGGGGGAACUGAAACAUCUAAGUACCCCGAGGAAAAGAAAUCAACCGAGAUUCCCCCAGUAGCGGCGAGCGAACGGGGAGCAGCCCAGAGCCUGAAUCAGUGUGUGUGUUAGUGGAAGCGUCUGGAAAGGCGCGCGAUACAGGGUGACAGCCCCGUACACAAAAAUGCACAUACUGUGAGCUCGAUGAGUAGGGCGGGACACGUGGUAUCCUGUCUGAAUAUGGGGGGACCAUCCUCCAAGGCUAAAUACUCCUGACUGACCGAUAGUGAACCAGUACCGUGAGGGAAAGGCGAAAAGAACCCCGGCGAGGGGAGUGAAAAAGAACCUGAAACCGUGUACGUACAAGCAGUGGGAGCACAGAGCAAUCUGUGUGACUGCGUACCUUUUGUAUAAUGGGUCAGCGACUUAUAUUCUGUAGCAAGGUUAACCGAAUAGGGGAGCCGAAGGGAAACCGAGUCUUAACUGGGCGUUAAGUUGCAGGGUAUAGACCCGAAACCCGGUGAUCUAGCCAUGGGCAGGUUGAAGGUUGGGUAACACUAACUGGAGGACCGAACCGACUAAUGUUGAAAAAUUAGCGGAUGACUUGUGGCUGGGGGUGAAAGGCCAAUCAAACCGGGAGAUAGCUGGUUCUCCCCGAAAGCUAUUUAGGUAGCGCCUCGUGAAUUCAUCUCCGGGGGUAGAGCACUGUUUCGGCAAGGGGGUCAUCCCGACUUACCAACCCGAUGCAAACUGCGAAUACCGGAGAAUGUUAUCACGGGAGACACACGGCGGGUGCUAACGUCCGUCGUGAAGAGGGAAACAACCCAGACCGCCAGCUAAGGUCCCAAAGUCAUGGUUAAGUGGGAAACGAUGUGGGAAGGCCCAGACAGCCAGGAUGUUGGCUUAGAAGCAGCCAUCAUUUAAAGAAAGCGUAAUAGCUCACUGGUCGAGUCGGCCUGCGCGGAAGAUGUAACGGGGCUAAACCAUGCACCGAAGCUGCGGCAGCGACGCUUAUGCGUUGUUGGGUAGGGGAGCGUUCUGUAAGCCUGCGAAGGUGUGCUGUGAGGCAUGCUGGAGGUAUCAGAAGUGCGAAUGCUGACAUAAGUAACGAUAAAGCGGGUGAAAAGCCCGCUCGCCGGAAGACCAAGGGUUCCUGUCCAACGUUAAUCGGGGCAGGGUGAGUCGACCCCUAAGGCGAGGCCGAAAGGCGUAGUCGAUGGGAAACAGGUUAAUAUUCCUGUACUUGGUGUUACUGCGAAGGGGGGACGGAGAAGGCUAUGUUGGCCGGGCGACGGUUGUCCCGGUUUAAGCGUGUAGGCUGGUUUUCCAGGCAAAUCCGGAAAAUCAAGGCUGAGGCGUGAUGACGAGGCACUACGGUGCUGAAGCAACAAAUGCCCUGCUUCCAGGAAAAGCCUCUAAGCAUCAGGUAACAUCAAAUCGUACCCCAAACCGACACAGGUGGUCAGGUAGAGAAUACCAAGGCGCUUGAGAGAACUCGGGUGAAGGAACUAGGCAAAAUGGUGCCGUAACUUCGGGAGAAGGCACGCUGAUAUGUAGGUGAAGUCCCUCGCGGAUGGAGCUGAAAUCAGUCGAAGAUACCAGCUGGCUGCAACUGUUUAUUAAAAACACAGCACUGUGCAAACACGAAAGUGGACGUAUACGGUGUGACGCCUGCCCGGUGCCGGAAGGUUAAUUGAUGGGGUCAGCGCAAGCGAAGCUCUUGAUCGAAGCCCCGGUAAACGGCGGCCGUAACUAUAACGGUCCUAAGGUAGCGAAAUUCCUUGUCGGGUAAGUUCCGACCUGCACGAAUGGCGUAAUGAUGGCCAGGCUGUCUCCACCCGAGACUCAGUGAAAUUGAACUCGCUGUGAAGAUGCAGUGUACCCGCGGCAAGACGGAAAGACCCCGUGAACCUUUACUAUAGCUUGACACUGAACAUUGAGCCUUGAUGUGUAGGAUAGGUGGGAGGCUUGGAAGUGUGGACGCCAGUCUGCAUGGAGCCGACCUUGAAAUACCACCCUUUAAUGUUUGAUGUUCUAACGUUGACCCGUAAUCCGGGUUGCGGACAGUGUCUGGUGGGUAGUUUGACUGGGGCGGUCUCCUCCUAAAGAGUAACGGAGGAGCACGAAGGUUGGCUAAUCCUGGUCGGACAUCAGGAGGUUAGUGCAAUGGCAUAAGCCAGCUUGACUGCGAGCGUGACGGCGCGAGCAGGUGCGAAAGCAGGUCAUAGUGAUCCGGUGGUUCUGAAUGGAAGGGCCAUCGCUCAACGGAUAAAAGGUACUCCGGGGAUAACAGGCUGAUACCGCCCAAGAGUUCAUAUCGACGGCGGUGUUUGGCACCUCGAUGUCGGCUCAUCACAUCCUGGGGCUGAAGUAGGUCCCAAGGGUAUGGCUGUUCGCCAUUUAAAGUGGUACGCGAGCUGGGUUUAGAACGUCGUGAGACAGUUCGGUCCCUAUCUGCCGUGGGCGCUGGAGAACUGAGGGGGGCUGCUCCUAGUACGAGAGGACCGGAGUGGACGCAUCACUGGUGUUCGGGUUGUCAUGCCAAUGGCACUGCCCGGUAGCUAAAUGCGGAAGAGAUAAGUGCUGAAAGCAUCUAAGCACGAAACUUGCCCCGAGAUGAGUUCUCCCUGACUCCUUGAGAGUCCUGAAGGAACGUUGAAGACGACGACGUUGAUAGGCCGGAUGUGUAAGCGCAGCGAUGCGUUGAGCUAACCGGUACUAAUGAACCGUGAGGCUUAACCUUACAACGCCGAAGCUGUU
rnacentral:rRNA from 1 species